UGCUCUUCUGAUCUCUUGGGAAAGACGCAUCCAUGGGGAAAAUUCUGAGCUGGCCAUUGAGCUCUGUGUCGUGAGGAGGGUGGCCCAUAUGUUAGAUGUUUGUGGGCAGCUGCAUGGGUACAGGGAUGCCCCCAAAACUCUAGCUGCUUUGAUACGCUUUUUUGAGUAACUGCACGUUUGCACUGUGGCAAAAAAGGAAAACAAAUGACUUCUGCAGGGGUCUGGCCGCAACUAUGGACAGUUUGGCCAGCCACCAAUGCCCAGUUCAAGGCUGAAGCUUGAGUUGGAAAGUUGGAAGAAGAGCUGAAGUUAUAGGGGGACAUGUGGUUUCCCACCAUUCUGUUAGCUUCGUGGCUAGCAGGCAAGAUGGGAGAAUAGAAUAAUAAGUUAGAGACCUGGAAGUUUACAGACUACUGCAAAUUAACAUUCAAGUGCUUACCAAACCUGCUUAGGACAUUAAGAGGUAGACUCUGGGGGAGUGAGGAGAGCAAAAGGGAAGAGGCUGUGAGAUUGAUAAUGAAAUAAACAGAGUGUCCCAUUCUAUCCAACCCUUAAUACAAAGGAAAAAUUUAAAUAGUGAUUAUCCUAGAUUUCUGAUAAUAGAAAAAUAUACCCCAAAACUCCUAUGAGAAAACUUGCAUUCUUUCUCUGUCCCUUGAAGUUGUAAAUCUUAUCACAUCUACAAAUUGUAAACACUACCUACCAUUGCUUGAGGAAAAAAAAAAAAAAA